GGAGUCAUCGCAGUCGUCGGAGUUGCCUGAGCAGGGAGGGGAAUGGAAAAGUGUCAGUGCAGCUGCCCCUUGGGAAUGUGUGGCACACCCGCCACCUCCUUCAGCUCAUCCUGACACAGGUACCAGGAUUGCAUGGAUUCCAGCUUCAUUGUUCUGAAUCAAAGACUACAUGCCUGCAUCACGUCCAACCUCAGGGCCCCGCAUCACGUCCAACCUCAGGGCCCCGCAUCA